UUGCACAUUGUUGUACUUCACGUACUUGGGAAUGAUGCUUGUUUCAAUGACGCCAAGCUUUCCAGUAGCUGCAAUUCUUCAAUCAUCCUUUUACACAAUGUUCAACCUCUUUGCUGGCUUCUUGAUGCCAAAGGCCGUAAGUGGUUCAGAAUUUAAGCCACUUUGAAUGUAAAAAUCAAUGAUAAUUUUGUAAUUACCUCAGUCAGUGUGUGACAUUUCAAUUUUUGUUUCUUUUCCCUACAUUGCAGCAAAUUCCCAAAUGGUGGAUCUGGUUCUAUUAUCUAACACCUACAUCUUGGACGCUGAAUGGGAUGCUUACUUCACAAUAUGGAGAUAUAGAAAAAGAAAUUACCGUGUUUCAAGAAAAGAAAACAGUAGCAGCCUUUCUUGGGGACUAUUUUGGUUUUCACCACAAUCAAUUACCUAUUGUAGCAUUUGUUUUGAUUGCAUACCCCCUAGUUUUUGCUAGUCUAUUUGCAUUUUUCAUUGGGAAGUUGAACUUCCAGAGGAGGUGAUAUUGCAACUUAUUCAUUGUAUGUUUCAAAUUAAAUAGUUUCCAUGUUACUUUUGUACAUUAGACUGGGGGAAAAUAAGGUUAUGGUAUAUUCAUAAUACCAGGGAGAGAAGUAUGGGAUCUGAUAAGAUGCAUGAAUUUCUAUUCUGUCUUUUCUAAGAGUAGAUGAGAGUUUAAAGAUUAUAUUAAAACGGUAAAAACUUAAGUGUUUGAAGCAAUUCCAUUCACAGAUAUUCAGAAAUUGUGGUACUGUCAAAUUACCUCAAGUUGAGAAGGUAAAGGCAUUCUUGGUAGGAAGUAGAAGCAUUCAAACCGCAACAAAGAUUUUAUCACUACCGUUAAUAGUAAAAAUACAGUUACACUACCAUUAAAUGCUAAGCAUAAGCAUCUAGAUAUCAUACAUGUAUGCACUUACGUGAGUUGGGACAAAUAAGGUCCAACCCCAUAUCAAUUAAUAGCCUGAAAAUGAAUCUGUAGCCUACGAACAAUUAUUUACAAUCAUCUCAACAGCUGAAUUGCUCAGAUAAAUUACUGGGGAAUAAAGUUCUUAACAAAUUGCACAAAAUCGAGCUAUGAGCAAAAUAACUUAGUGCUUUCACAAAUAAGAUAAUGGACGAGACAGAUGAUGGAUUGCGUAGAGGUGUUCAAACACGCAGCGGAAGACAAUAACAAUCCUAGAUAGAACUUUUCGUCUUUAAAAUUUAUUUACAUGUCAAAGAUAGGAUCUAAGACGUACCUGGUGAAGAGAGUAUCAUUUUAGAGUUUUCUUCGAUAGUGCGAACACUCUAUGCGUAUCCACACCGAGACUGAUCCUUGCUAUCAACUUUUUGAUAAAUGAAACCCGCGAGCAAAUUGAACGAAUUAUUGUGCUAAAGUUCUUUUCAAAAACUUUAGCUCAUAGGUGAAAGACCAAGAAACUAAAUUUUCUUGUCCAAGAGUAUUUCUUGACUCUNNN
rnacentral:lncRNA from 1 species